GAUGAACGCUGGCGGCGUGCCUAAUACAUGCAAGUCGAGCGAACGGACGAGAAGCUUGCUGCUCUGAUGUUAGCGGCGGACGGGUGAGUAACACGUGGAUAACCUACCUAUAAGACUGGGAAAACUUCGGGAAACCGGCGCUAAUACCGGAUAAUCUUUUGAACCGUAUGGUUGAAUAGUGAAAGACGGCCUUGCUGUCUCUUAUAGAUGGAUCCGCGCUGCAUUAGCUAGUUGGUAAGGUAAAGGCUUACCAAGGCAAGGAUGCGUAGCCGACGGGAGAGAGGGAUAGCCGACACUAGAGCGUGAACGGGGACAUGGCGACUAAGGGAGGGAGCAGUAGGCAACCUUCCGCAGUGGGCGGAAACAUGGCGGAACAGGCCGGCGUGAGUGGUAGAGAUCUUCGGAUCGUAAAACUCUGUUACUAGGGAAGAACAUAUGUGUAAGUAGCUGUGCACAUAUUGACGGUACCUGAUCAGAAAGCAACGGCUAACUACGUG
rnacentral:rRNA from 1 species